rnacentral:rRNA from 1 species
UGAAGCUGGAAUCGCUAGUAAUCGUAGAUCAGCAUGCUACGGUGAAUACGUUCCCGGGUCUUGUACACACCGCCCGUCACACCACGAGAGUUUGUAACACCCGAAGCCGGUGGAGUAACCAUUUAUGGAGCUAGCCGUCGAAGGUGGGACAAAUGAUUGGGGUGAAGUCGUAACAAGGUAGCCGUAUCGGAAGGUGCGGCUGGAUCACCUCCUUUCUAAGGA